CCAGAAACAAGUCGCCCCACACCAGGACGUGCGGUGAGAAGCCCCACACCAGGACUCGCGGACACGGUUAUAACAGAAGCCUCCCACCUCCCUGAAAAUACAAUACACUUCUGACAUCCUCCCAGUCUAAGAAAAGGCACAAAUAAUGUUCAAGUCAUGGGUGGCUUCAGUGAAAACUCUGGUGAAAUGAUGACAGUUUGGCUGGCUUGGAUGGUUUUGCUGCUAGUGUGAAGAAUGUAAUUGCUCAGGCCUCAGCCCGCUGGCCUGACCCCAGUGAGCCCCUGGCCACACACUGCUUGAUCCUCGAAAUGGAAAAUACAGGCAGCAAAGUCAGCAGGGGUCCGGCGACGCAGACGUUCUCGGAGUGGAGCGAAGUGCUGGAGAAAAGCACUCAGUGGAUGGGGUUUCUUUCUUCUUUUCUUUUCUUUUUUUUUUGAAUCACCUUGAUUGCAGCGCACCCAGGCUCAGGAGGGUAUGCCUGUGCUCCCACACAGCUCACACAGAUGGCCCUGGUCACCACCAGAACGCAUGCAGCUUUCUGCCCCACAUCUGACUUCCUGAAGCUCAGGCAGGCCUGGACAAUACCAUGCUAGCUGCCACUAAAGCUCCAAAGCCACGUUUUCCAGAUUGUCUUGAUCUCCCCAGAUAUUUUGAGUCCAGGCCUCACAGCCAUUCAACCACAGGCUUUAGAAUUGAGCCUGGCAUUUCAUAUCCUUUUCCAGUUUUCAAAAUAAGUCUUUCCUCUGGAGAAAAAUAUUGGCUUCCUUUAGAAGCUUGGGCCUGAAUUUGCUGCAUUUCUCUCAAGUCAGGCAGGGGUCCAGACCACGUUCUACGAUCUUUCCCCAAGCUCUGGGAAAAUCUUUCCCCAUCCUACCUUUGUGAGCAUGGUGGCAUAAAUGGACACUGUCCAGGAGAGGCUGCAGGAAUUAGCCCUUCAGGGCUGGGGAGAGCUGUGUCCUGCCCUUGGACUGUAGCUCUGGGUCAACUGAGGUGAGAAGAAUUCGUGCUUUCAACACCUCUUCCCUGUUGAAAUUUCUUCUGGGGCUACUAAUAAGUAGCCAAGGUUGAAAGCCUGACUUCACUUUCUUCUCUGUUUACUUGGUGACUGGUUUACACACCAACCAAGUGAACAAUCUGUCAAUAAGUAACCAGGAAUCAACUGUCUCAAUAUUUAAUAAUUCGUACCACCCACUAACAUCUACUGAGACUCUACUGUGUACAAGUUCUAUGAUGGGAAACAAAAGUCAAGAUGCCAAAGACCUGCCCUCAGGGAGCCUCCACUCCGGGAAGGCAGAGUCCAAAACAGACAAACAAAUGUAGCAUCAGGUCUCAUGGAAAUUCCAAGCUGGAGAACAUUAGCAACUCUUGAGUGUUUCCUGGAAGAGAUGGUGUUUGAGUUGGGCUUUGAAGGACAGGGAGGGAUUGGCACAGAGAGGGCAUUCCAGGGAUUCUACUGAUUAUUUAUUAGGCUGAUUGGAGUUACUUGGGCAAGCACGGUUACCCCUCCCUGACCACCGAAUACCCAACACUUAAGUCUUGCACUGGAAGAAUUGUUUUCACAACCAGGAAAAUUUUUGUUCCGAUAUAUGCAAAUCACCCAUGUUGGUGAUAAGAAAGAAAGGGGUUGGGGUAAGGAGGAAGAAAAGGAGGUAAAUUGGGCCUGGAGCAACU